rnacentral:rRNA from 1 species
UACGGGGGGAGCAAGCGUUGUCCGGAUUUAUUGGGCGUAAAGAGCUCGUAGGCGGCUUGUCGCGUCGUCCGUGAAAACCUGGGGCUCAACCCCAGGCUUGCGGUCGAUACGGGCAGGCUCGAGUUCGGUAGGGGAGACUGGAAUUCCUGGUGUAGCGGUGAAAUGCGCAGAUAUCAGGAGGAACACCGGUGGCGAAGGCGGGUCUCUGGGCCGAUACUGACGCUGAGGAGCGAAAGCGUGGGGAGCGAACAGG